UGAAGAUGUUGAACUUAUUCUUGGUAUGUCGCUCCAUGUAAAAUGUCAUGAGUAUCACAUGUAAUUGAUUGUUGUUGAAUAUCUGGUAUGCUAUCUUGGAAUUCGUAGGCCUUGGUUGAACUGUUAUUUUGCAAAUGUUAUGAUGUCCUGGUUAUUUAAUUUUGAUCAACAUAUAAACGUUAGUUAAUUAAAAUGCAAAUGGUGUCACAAAAUGGUUCUGGAUUUACCAGCACUAUUGAAUGUGGGAUAUUGCAAAGAAGUGGACAAAAGUGAAUAAUCUCAACAACGCAUGCCUUUUUAUGUUUUAAGCUUCACAAUGGACUUCACGCUUUUGUGUCUUCUUUUAAUUAAAUGAUAAGAAGAUUUUUUUUGUCCGUGGGCCUUGUGCUUUGAUCUUUAUUUGUGCUCUAUAACACUUACAGACUAUUUAUAAUACUGGUUCAUUGAUUGGUUAUAUUUCAUCUAUUCUCAAUAGUUUGCCUUGUGUUUUAUUUUAGAGCUAAGUUGUCUUCUGUGGAUUUUGCUAAGAAAUGCAAGUUGCAUUUGGCUUUUGGAUGUGAAGUAUUUCUCUUUUCCACUGUCUUUCCUGAUUCUGUAUGCAAUGUGGUGUGGCAUUUUGAUUGCACCCAUUGUCAGGGCCGUAUUCUCUUUUCCUUCACAGUUCAUACUUCAUACAAAAGAAAAAUCUUUAGAUUACUACACCAUGUUAAUUUAAGUUCCAUUGCUUCUUGCUUGUUGUGAGCUUAACUUUGAAAUUAUGGUAUCUGAUAUUUUCUUCAUCUUGCAAUUUAAUUGGAA
rnacentral:misc_RNA from 1 species